GCUCGGUUAGCUCAGUUGGUUAGAGCGUCGUACUAAUAUUUCGCCCUCCCAAGGACGAUAUAUACAGUAAUGCGAAGGUCAUGAGUUCAACCCUCAUACUGAGCA
rnacentral:tRNA from 1 species